GGCACGGCACGGCACGGCGGUGCGGGGAGCGGUGGCCGGCGGCCGCUGCCGCUGAGGGUAAACUGUGAACAGCUCAGGACAACCAAUCUUCAGCUGCCCUGAUGCUAUCAUCUGGGGUGGAAUCUCUCCUUGAUUCUUCUGUGUCUGCUGUAAUAGAGGAAUUGUACACUGGACUGCCAGAGAGCAUCUCCACUGAACUUAUGGCUGUAUCGGAGCCUAAUGUUGGAUUAGAUGCAAAAUCUGAUGUAUCGACGCCUGUGCUGGCACACAGUGACAGCCUGUCAGCUGGGCAUCAUAGGACUUCUGGAGUAGAAAACUUUUGCCAGAAGACAGAGGAUUUGGGUGAUAUGCUCAAGGUGAUUUCUCAUGGGCCAGCAGAAUCCCUUACUGAAGAAUUACUGAAGGCUGGAGACCUUGAAGAGGAUGAAGAAAACAAAAAAAGAAACUUCAGGAAACUAGACUGUUCUAGUGAUGGAUACCAGAAAGAAGACAAAGAGGCACAAGAUGCUGAGGAGUAUCACGCUGAAUGCUGUGCUUUAAGACCUGGGGAAAGUUGUUCAAAACAAGAGGACCCUCACUUAAACCAGGAUGAGGUGAAGUCUUCGAGAACCCGUUGCACUGAAAUAGCGGGAUCUCUGAAGAACACAGGUGCGUAUUUUAGUUGUACAUCGCUAUCUACCCCCUGCUUCUCUCCCAGG
rnacentral:lncRNA from 1 species